CAAAGCCAGUCACUUCCCUGCUUUGGUCGGGAUUCAAAGGCGGUAAAGUCGGCCCCGCUGCUCUGCCGAAAUCGCAGGGACUGGCCUGGCGUGCAGGAAAGGGCUCGCGGAGCAGGCGGCGGCGAGGACAGGCAAGCGGGAGCCGCUGACGGGGAAAUCCACUGGCAGCGAGCGCGUGCUUACAUGUCUGCGGGACCGAUACCAACUUUCAGAUCCCAUUUUUGCAACCCACGGCUCAGAUGAAGGAAGUAACCCAUACUGUCCAUAACGCCACUCUUCGCCUCUGAUGCCACCUUCUGCCCGCACUCCAGACAGCUUGUCCAAUGAGGAUUCUCUCCGCUGCAUCAGUAAAUAGAGUUCUUGGUGAGCAAUGUUCUCACACAUUCUCUUUCCUCAGAGCUUGGCUCAGUGGGUCCAGGACAGGUAGUGGUGCUUACUACUGUUCAUUCAGUUUGAAUUUGAGAGAGGACCACACCACUUGUUUCCAUCCUCUCUGUAGAUUGGAUUCAAGAAUAAUGGUGAAUUGUGGUUUCUGUAUUUACCCUCCAGGGUUUUUAUUGUUACCCUAAUUAUUAUUCACAAUAAUAAUUUCUGUUGUCAGAUGGUGGUAACUCUACAAGUCCCCUUUUGAGUCCAGAGAAAUAUUGUUCCACUUGAGAUAAAUGGGUAACAGAAAAUUUCCAGAAAAAUUUGUGAUUCUAAUUCACUUCCAAAUUUUACUUUUUCCACUUUGAGCUAUGCUGUAGUUAUGAGUCCUUAGGAAAUCCAUUUUGGAUUGCUUAUGAUUUUUAACACUAUUGAAAAAUGAAAUAAAAACAACACUUUAUUUCAUGAGUUUAUUAUAGAUGUUUAAAAAUGUGUAGGUAAGCACACAGAAGAAACUCUGCAACUUCUAUAGUCUCCCAAUGCAAAAAUGACCACAAU